CUACGUGCCAGCAGCCGCGGUAAUACGUAGGGUGCGAGCGUUAAUCGGAAUUACUGGGCGUAAAGCGAGCGCAGACGGUUACUUAAGCAGGAUGUGAAAUCCCCGGGCUCAACCUGGGAACUGCGUUCUGAACUGGGUGACUAGAGUGUGUCAGAGGGAGGUAGAAUUCCACGUGUAGCAGUGAAAUGCGUAGAGAUGUGGAGGAAUACCGAUGGCGAAGGCGGCCUCCUGGGAUAACACUGACGUUCAUGCUCGAAAGCGUGGGUAGCAAACAGGAUUAGAUACCCUGGUAGUCCACGCCCUAAACGAUGUCAAUUAGCUGUUGGGCAACUUGAUUGCUUAGUAGCGUAGCUAACGCGUGAAAUUGACCGCCUGGGGAGUACGGUCGCAAGAUUAAAACUCAAAGGAAUUGACGGGGACCCGCACAAGCGGUGGAUGAUGUGGAUUAAUUCGAUGCAACGCGAAGAACCUUACCUGGUCUUGACAU
rnacentral:rRNA from 1 species